UACGGAGGGAGCGAGCGUUGUUCGGAAUUACUGGGCGUAAAGAGUGCGCAGGCGGAAUAUCAAGUCAGGAGUGAAAUCCCGGGGCUCAACCUCGGAACUGCUUUUGAAACUGAUAAUCUAGAGUCUUGGAGAGGUUAGUGGAAUUCCUAGUGUAGAGGUGAAAUUCGUAGAUAUUAGGAGGAACACCAGUGGCGAAGGCGACUAACUGGACAAGUACUGACGCUCAUGCACGAAAGUGUGGGGAUCAAACAGG
rnacentral:rRNA from 1 species